AUUGAACGCUGGCGGCAUGCCUUACACAUGCAAGUCGAACGGUAACAGGUCUUCGGAUGCUGACGAGUGGCGAACGGGUGAGUAAUACAUCGGAACGUGCCCAGACGUGGGGGAUAACGAGGCGAAAGCUUUGCUAAUACCGCAUACGAUCUAAGGAUGAAAGCAGGGGACCGCAAGGCCUUGCGCGUUUGGAGCGGCCGAUGGCAGAUUGGGUAGUUGGUGGGAUAAAAGCUUACCAAGCCGACGAUCUGUAGCUGGUCUGAGAGGACGACCAGCCACACUGGGACUUAGACACGUCCCAGACUCCGACGGGAGGCAGCAGUGGGGAAUUUUGGACAAUGGGCGAAAUCCUGAGCCAGCAAGGCCGCGUGCAGGAUGAAGGCUUUCGGGUUUUAAACUGCUCUUGUACGGAACGAAAAGGCUCUGGCUAAUACCUGGGGCACAUGACGGUACCGUAAGAAUAAGCACCGGCUAACUACGUG
rnacentral:rRNA from 1 species